rnacentral:rRNA from 1 species
CCUACGGGGGGCAGCAGUGGGGAAUCUUGCGCAAUGGGCGAAAGCCUGACGCAGCAACGCCGCGUGGGGGACGAAGGCCUUCGGGUUGUAAACCCCUUUCAGCAGGGACGCGGUACCUGCAGAAGAAGCCCCGGCCAACUACGUGCCAGCAGCCGCGGUAAUACGUAGGGGGCGAGCGUUGUCCGGAUUUAUUGGGCGUAAAGAGCUCGUAGCGGUUUGGCAAGUCGGGUGUGAAAACUCCGGGCUCAACUCGGAGACGCCACUCGAUACUGCCAGACUUGAGUCCGGUAGGGGAGUGCGGAAUUCCUGGUGUAGCGGUGAAAUGCGCAGAUAUCAGAGGAACACCGGUGGCGAAGGCGCACUCUGGGCCGGACUGACGCUGAGGACGAAAGCGUGGGGAGCGAACAGGAUUAAUACCCUUGUAGUC